AAGUUACUUAUUUCAGGAAGAGAAAGAAAGAUCAAAAGAAAAGAAAAAGAUAUCCUAUAUCCAACACCAGAAUUCUCUUUCUAUAUUUCUAACCUGGAGUGUGACUGUGUACUAGCUAGUGCAGAGAAGAAGGCUGGAAAUAGCCUGUUCUGCAUGAUUUGUUUUUCUCCCAAAAUGGAUUGGAGUAAAAUGAGGUUGGGGGCUGCUUGGGCAGACAUAUUAGCACCAAAAAUUGCAGAAUGUAGGAGUAUGGGUGGGAGGUAAGCAUGGUGAGUACAGUCACAGCAAAAAAGUGGGUGCAUUCUGAUAAAUUAGCAUAAUAUCUCAGUGAAAUGGGCAGCUUUGCCCUUGUCUCUCUUGCCAUACUGUCAUUGCGAUGAUAGUGUCUACUUACUCCUGCUGCCAAAGAAAACCCAUGUGCUAAAGCCAAAUUUUAAGGGCCUUUUUUGCCUUCUUU
rnacentral:misc_RNA from 1 species